AACUCCUAAAAUCUGAGAUUAUGUUUGAGAGAGAGAGAGAGAGAGAGAGAAAGAGAGAGUGCACUUUUAGAGAGAGAAAGUGUAGAUUGUGAAAGAGAACUUGAGGAUCAUUGUUUGUAAGUUCAAGAUUGUACAAGAACAAGAGAAUUUGGAGACUCUAGGUCAACGUUCAAAGAUUGAUUGACCGUUUCCGGAUGCCCACUGUGAGUGUGUGUAGGACCAGGCCUAAGGGCUUCUGUCUGACUUCCAUUUUAUCAAGCCAACCAUUAUGCCUCACGUGGAGGUUCCUAAAGUGUCGCAUGUCAUAAGCUCUGGUUGCCUCUGUAUAUAAGGCUUGAUUUUGUUUCAUUGGCUGUAUUUAAGAUGUUAUAGUUAAGUGUGUGGGUAUAAUGUGAGAAUGAUUUUUGGUUAUACCAUAUAUAAAGUUUUAAAUAUUCUGUUUCACUUAAAUCCGCAUAGCUCAUUGGACACUUAUUAUUAUGUAUUUGCUUUGGCUAGCCCCUUAUUUUGUGAUUCUGUUUCAAAGGCCGUAGAUAAUCUUAGGAUUACUGGACGGUUACGACGCUAAACCUAUAGGGACAGGUUUGGGUCAUGACACGUUUAGUAAACGAGCCGAAUUUGAACUCGAAUAUUAGGCUCGUUUAGUAAAUGAGUCAAGCUUAUGCUCGAAUAAGCUUUGUUUGUCAAGUUCGGCUCGUUUGGCUUUAUUUAAAUAAUAUAAAUAAUAUUAGAAAAAUCUUAUCAAGCCAAGCUAAGCCAAGUCGAGCUGAGCUCGAGCCCAGUUAGUUAUCAAGCCAAGCUCAAAAUUAAUAAGCAAAUGAACCGAGUUCGACCUCGGAAAGGCUCAGCUCGUUUACAGCCCUAAUAGAACUACAAAAUUUCAAUAACUAAUCUAUAAAAAUACGUAACACUACCAUUAAUAUGCAUAAAAAUUAAAUAAAAAACAAAAACAAAAACAAAUGUAACAGACCAUUAAGUGUCGUAAUGAACUAUACUAUAACAUCACUUGUGUGUUUUAACUAAACAAACCACUAGGUACGGCGUAAUAGAACUAUAAAAUUUUGAUAAAAAAUAAAUAAAGCCACUAUUAAUAUGCGUAAAAGUUCUUUUUAAAAAAUAUAACAAGAUGAUUAAAGUACGUAAUGGAUCAUUAAGUAAUGUAACUCACCAUAAUUAUAAAUAAAGAAUUACACUUUGACAUAGCUUGUGCAUCUUAACUCCCAAAACUAUUAGCUAUGGCAUAAUA